AUGGUGUACCACACAAAUUGGUAGAAUUAGCUCGUUUCCUUUCGUCUACACAACAGCGUCUGCCCAACAGGUAUCUUCUGAAGGAGACAUAUACCAUAUGGCAACAAGAUGUGACAAGUCUCCAUUUCUUCAGUUUGAAGCAACAUUUAGUACAUAAACACGAACAUGCGCUCAGUCAAAUUGAAUGCUUAUUUUUCGAUAGGUACCUGUCUUGCAAUGAUAUAAAUCCAGAGUGGUGGUAAAGCUUGUAGAUGGAGAGUCAAACGGGAUGAAGUUACGAUUUAUAGCUGGAUUGGGCAGAAUGUAUCUAUCUCAAACCAGCUAGCUGCUUGACAUAAGCUUUCCGUAUCUUUCCUUUGUCGUCUCUAUUGGCAUUCAGUGAUUGAAAUCCAAAACGAGAGAGAGGGAGUGUGUGUUCUGCUCCAGCUGCUGUCCCUUCUACUCCAGCCACCAUUCAGAUUCUUUCCACCAUUAUAUGUUUGAGAGAAGGCAAAACGAGAGAAACAGAGAGGAAUCUGAGUUUUUGAGUC